rnacentral:rRNA from 1 species
UGGGGAAUAUUGGACAAUGGGCGCAAGCCUGAUCCAGCCAUGCCGCGUGAACGAUGAAGGCCUUAGGGUUGUAAAGUCUUUUGUCAGGGAAGAUAAUGACGGUACCUGAAGAAUAAGCACCGGCUAACUUCGUGCCAGCAGCCGCGGUAAUACGAAGGGUGCUAGCGUUGUUCGGAAUCACUGGGCGUAAAGCGCGCGUAGGCGGCUUAACAAGUCAGAGGUGAAAGCCUGGAGCUCAACUCCAGAACUGCCAUUGAGACUGUUAAGCUUGAGUGUCGGAGGGGAUAGCGGAAUUUCUAAUGUAGAGGUGAAAUUCGUAGAUAUUAGAAGGAACACCGGUGGCGAAGGCGGCUAUCUGGACGACAACUGACGCUGAGGCGCGAAAGCGUGGGGAUCAAACAGGAUUAGAUACCCCUGUAGUCCCUGAGCGGGCUGGCAAGGCGCAU